rnacentral:rRNA from 1 species
AGCAGCCGCGGUAAUUCCAGCUCCAAUAGCGUAUAUUAAAGUUGUUGCAGUUAAAAAGCUCGUAGUUGAAUUUCGGGAUCAGUACGCCGGUCGUGCCUCUGGUAUGUACUGGUGUUACUGGUUCCUACCUUCUGAAGAACCGUCAUGUCAUUAAUUUGGUGUGGCGGGGAAUCAGGACUGUUACUUUGAAAAAAUUAGAGUGUUUAAAGCAGGCUCGCGCUUGAAUACAUUAGCAUGGAAUAAUGAAAUAGGACGUUCGAUCCUAUUUUGUUGGUUUCUAGGAUUGACGUAAUGAUUAAUAGGGAUAGUUGGGGGCAUUAGUAUUCAAUUGUCAGAGGUGAAAUUCUUGGAUUUAUUGAAGACUAACUACUGCGAAAGCAUUUGCCAAGGAUGUUUUCAUUAAUCAAGAACGAAAGUUAGGGGAUCGAAGACGAUCAGAUACCGUCAUAG